GGGGUCUCUGAUAGUAGUUGGUCUUGGAAAUGACUCAAUUCAACCUGCAGAUCAGAAAGUCCCAUCCAUCUUACGGCAUCAGAUGAUGUUCAAGAAACAGAUUCUGAAUCAAGAUGUAUACCAUAUUCAAAUACUGGAGUAUCCUCCUGGUGUUAAACUUGUACCAAUUGGAAGUAAGACAGCAAAGCCUUUCCAUACAACAAACUUGAUCAUAUUUGCACCUGAAAAUGUUUCAAAUGAAAGUGAGAACAAUAGUUUUGUUGCUUGGGGAUGCAUUGAUAGUGGAUCCAGGAUGGAGGUCUGAAUUCCAUGAAGAGCUCCAAAAAAUAGUUGCUGCUUUGCCACGGAAGUUAGUUGUCUUUGUUACCCAUCAUCAUCGGGGGUCAUGUGGAUGGUGACUGGUCUCUUGGAUAUACCUCAGUUUCUGGAGCAGAAGACAUUUGCAUUGGCGGUUAGCGAUUAAGGGUCAUUUUUGCACCAGUAUUCCUCAUUUUUUUUACUGCACAAAUAUAAAAUGAUAGUUUUCUUUUUGUUGGAAGCUUAAGUAACGUUUGGUGUAAGCCAUUACAAACUCGCUCACAUAUUCGUACUCCAGAUGUGCUCAGGCUAAUUAUCCAUCCAUAUUUGUUGACAAAUUGAUAGCUGUCAGAAUUGAGGAUAGGAUUAUGGACAGAGAAGAUAUACGUCAGUGGUUGGUGACAAAUGGUAGCUAUGCCUUAAUGAUGGUUGCACUGGUGGUCAAAAUGAUGACAUUAGAAAUGAAAGUGUCACGAAUGGAAAGAUGACAUCGACAACCAGAAUGAUGAUGUUGACCGUAGACAUCAUCACUGGUGAUUGUUGAUGAUUGGUUCAUGGGGUGUGUCUAUCCCUAAGACGUUCAUGAGCGAGUUGGCGGUCUUUGGGAAUUUUUUUGCAUAAAUUGGGCCCUUUGUUUAAUUUUAGCCUGUUGUUUCUUUAAAUAAAGUUCUAAAUGUAGUUUUCCAUAUAAACCAGCAUUAUAUUGUUGUGUCUGAAUAUGAAAGAUUCUUCUAAAUACAGGGUCAUACUGAUGGUCACAUGGCACUGCUUCAUAUGAGUACUCACUCAUUGAUUGUCGGUGAUCAUUGUGUUGGUCAAGGAAGUGCCAUCUUGG